rnacentral:tRNA from 1 species
AGUUCAGCGGUAGAAUAUAACCUUGCCAAGGUUGGGGUCGCGGGUUCGAAUCCUCUAUGGC